rnacentral:rRNA from 1 species
CCUACGGGAGGCAGCAGUGAGGAAUAUUGGUCAAUGGCCGAGAGCCUGAACCAGCCAAGUCGCGUGAGGGAAGACGGCCCUACGGGUUGUAAACCUCUUUUGUACGGGAGUAAAGCGCCUUACGUGUGACUCAUUGCGAGUACCCGAAGAAAAAGCACCGGCUAAUUCCGUGCCAGCAGCCGCGGUAAUACGGAGGAUGCGAGCGUUAUCCGGAUUUAUUGGGUUUAAAGGGUGCGUAGGCGGAGGUGCAAGCUGGCGGUAAAAUUGCGGGGCUCAACCCCGUCCUGCCGUGGGAACUGGAGCGCUUGAGUGCGCGGAAAGCAUGCGGAAUGCGUGGUGUAGCGGUGAAAUGCUUAGAUAUCACGCAGAACUCCGAUUGCGAAGGCAGCUUGCCGGCGCGGAACUGACGCUGAUGCUCGAAAGCGUGGGUAUCGAACAGGAUUAGAUACCCUUGUAGUC